AAGUGUAGCAAUACAUGAGUAAAGCGGCGCACGGGUGAGUAACACGUGGAUAACCUGCCUCAAAGUGGGGAAUAACACCGGGAAACCGGUGCUAAUACCGCAUAUUCUGACGAGAUCUGCGGAUUUUGUCAGGAAAGGAGCAAUUCGCUAUGAGAGGGGUCCGCGGCUGAUUAGCUAGUUGGUGAGGUAAUGGCUCACCAAGGCUUCGAUCAGUAGCCGGUCUGAGAGGACGGUCGGCCACACUGGAACUGAGACACGGUCCAGACUCCUACGGGAGGCAGCAGUGGGGAAUUUUUCGCAAUGGGGGAAACCCUGACGAAGCAAUGCCGCGUGGAUGAUGAAGUAUCUCGGUACGUAAAAUCCUUUCGACGGGGACGAAACCGCAAGGUUGACGGUACCCGUAGAAGAAGCCCCGGCUAACUCCGUGCCAGCAGCCGCGGUAAUACGGGGGGGGCAAGCGUUGUUCGGAAUUACUGGGCGUAAAGGGUGCGUAGGCGGCUUUCUAAGUCGGAUGUGAAAACUCUGGGGCUCAACCCAGAGCCUGCAUCUGAAACUGGAGAGCUAGGGUUCUGGAGGGGAAAGCGGAAUUCCUGGUGUAGCGGUGAAAUGCGUAGAUAUCAGGAGGAACACCGGUGGCGAAGGCGGCUUUCUGGACAGAUACCGACGCUGAGGCACGAAAGCUAGGGGAGCAAACAGGAUUAGAUACCCUGGUAGUCCUAGCCCUAAACGAUGGAUACUUGCUGUGGGGGGGAAUUGAAGCCCCUUGGGGGCGAAACUUACGCAUUAAGU
rnacentral:rRNA from 1 species